rnacentral:rRNA from 1 species
UAAAGUUGUUGCGGUUAAAAAGCUCGUAGUCGGAGGUGUGUCUCGGACGGUCGGUUCGCCGCUUGUCGGUGCUCAACUGGCCGGUCCGGACGUCCUGCCGGUGGGGCCUCACGGCCCCGUCAUCCUUCUUUGGUCCUCUUCACCGAGUGCCUUGGUGGGCCGGCACGUUUACUUUGAACAAAUUAGAGUGCUCAAAGCAGGCCGUUGGUCGCCUGAAUACUGUGUGCAUGGAAUAAUGGAAUAGGACCUCGGUUCCAUUUUGUUGGUUUUCGGGACUCGAGGUAAUGAUUAAUAGGGACGGACGGGGGCAUUCGUAUUGCGACGUUAGAGGUGAAAUUCUUGGAUCGUCGCAAGACGAACCGAUGCGAAAGCAUUUGCCAAGAACGUUUUCGUUGAUCAAGAACGAAAGUUAGAGGUUCGAAGGCGAUCAGAUACCGCCCUAGUUCUAACCAUAAACGAUGCCAGCUAGCCAUCCGCCGAAGUUCCUUCUAUGACUCGGCGGGCAGCUUCCGGGAAACCAAAGCUCUUGGGUUCCGGGGGAAGUAUGGUUGCAAAGCUCAAACUUAAAGGAAUUG